rnacentral:rRNA from 1 species
GAUGAACGCUGGCGGCGCGCCUAACACAUGCAAGUCGAACGAUUAAAGCACCUUCGGGUGUGUAUAAAGUGGCGAACGGCUGAGUAACACGUGGGCAACCUGCCCCUUUCAUUGGGAUAGCCACGGGAAACCGUGGGUAAUACCGAAUACUUCGAGACUUCCGCAUGGAAGACUCGAGAAAGCUCCGGCGGAGAGGGAUGGGCCCGCGGCCUGUUAGCUUGUUGGUGGGGUAACGGCCUACCAAGGCAAUGAUGGGUAGCUGGGUUGAGAGACCGACCAGCCAGAUUGGGACUGAGACACGGCCCAGACUCCUACGGGAGGCAGCAGUGGGGAAUCUUGCACAAUGGGCGAAAGCCUGAUGCAGCGACGCCGCGUGCGGGAUGAAGGCCUUCGGGUUGUAAACCGCUUUCAGCAGGGACGAGGCGAAAGUGACGGUACCUGCAGAAGAAGCCCCGGCUAACUACGUG